rnacentral:rRNA from 1 species
UGGGUACUGCCGGAGACAUUACUGAUUUGCUUAAUUGCACCACAUGUGUUUUUUAUUGAACAAAUUUCUUUGGUGGCGGGAGCAAUCCUACCGCCAGAGGUUAUAACUAAACCAAACUUUUUAUUUACAGUCAAACUUGAUUUAUUAUUACAAUAGUCAAAACUUUCAACAACGGAUCUCUUGGUUCUCGCAUCGAUGAAGAACGCAGCGAAAUGCGAUACGUAAUAUGAAUUGCAGAUAUUCGUGAAUCAUCGAAUCUUUGAACGCACAUUGCGCCCUUUGGUAUUCCAAAGGGCAUGCCUGUUUGAGCGUCAUUUCUCCCUCAAACCCCCGGGUUUGGUGUUGAGCAAUACGCUAGGUUUGUUUGAAAGAAUUUAACGUGGAAACUUAUUUUAAGCGACUUAGGUUUAUCCAAAAACGCUUAUUUUGCUAGUGGCCACCACAAUUUAUUUCAUAACUUUGACCUCAAAUCAGGUAGGACUACCCGCUGAACUUAAGCAUAUCAAUAGGCCGGGAGGAAAAA